GAUUUUUUAAAUAUUUAACAGCGUCAUACUUAUAAAUUGCGUUUGAGUUAUUUGUGCGUUAAGUACGAUAGAUAUAUAAAGUUUCAAGCCGAAAACUUCCUUGUCUGAAGAUUUAUAUUUGUUUACAAUGACUAAUAUUCGAUUGGGAAUAAAACCAACAUAUAACAGAGGAAAAUCAGUCCACGGUUCAGGCAUAUACCUAAGUUCUCGGUAAGAUUAAUAUUUCAAAUUCGUUAAAAUUGAUAAAAAAAUGUGAAACUAUAUUUGACAUUUUUCUUUAUAUUCGAAACUCUCAACAGAAAAAUUAAAAACAAAUGAUACUAAUUGAUAUAAUUGAGUAAUGAUAUAAUCAUUUUAAAUCAUUGAAUGUAUUUAUAUUGUCAAAAUGUACAGUUUUUAAUGUCAGGUGAAUAUUUAUUCAUAAGAAGACUACAUAAAACUUUGGAUAGAGCGAUAUUAUGUGUGUUCCUUUGUUUGUUAAAUCAACUGUGUCAACGUGAAGCAUUCAAAUCUGCAAAAGGCUCACAAUAGGUCCGACUACACGAAUAUAGUCCUAAGUGUGGACAGUGUGUUACUUGCCAAUCUUUUUUAUACCCCUUCCAAAUUUAUUUCUUCAGGUUUUAUGCCUGAAUUAGCAAGUAUGGUGAUAAAAUUACACUGUGAAAAAAUUUGAUUUAUGAAUUUUAAAGUAAAAUAGUGAUUAAGUACAGCUGAAAAAGGAUAAAAAUAAGCAUUUCAAAAGCUGUCAAAAGAUUUCAAGACCCCCUGAACAUAAAAUUGUCCUUAUUUGUAAUUAGAGCCGAUGAAAUUUUCUAUAAUUUUAAUAUAAUUUGUCGCAAAAGUAGUACACCACACUGUAAAAAUAUAAUUGAGAAAGCGCAGUUGGGAUUUCUUUAUUUCCAUUUAUUGUCUAAAGGAAAUGCACUACGAAAUAACUGUGAGGUGAAAUCAUGUAAAAUAGAAUCUGUACUUUGGCAACUUCCCUAAAUGAGUAAAUGGUUUUAAUAUGUCAAAUGGCAUGCCAUAAAAGGAUUUAAACUUUUAUUUGAUAGAAAUUCUGCAAAAAUUACCCAUUUUGGCAUUACAUGGUCAAAAUGAUCAUUUCAAAACUUUUUCAAUUUAAAUGCAUAAGUGGCAUUCUGACUUUCUAUCUGACAGGUUUUCAUGUGUCAAUAUCUGUGUUUCUAUAAUUUAAUCCAGUUGUAUAACUUAUUUGUGAACUCUGAAUCUACAGAAAAGAUGAUUAUCUCAGAUAAUGUGUGCAAAAUGGGCUGUAUAAAUGACCCUCGUCAAACGCCCUGUUUGGAUCAAGUUAAAUGUGAGGAGCUUGGAACAUAAAAGUUGAAGUCCAUAAUAAAGAUUUCAAAAAAAUUGUAUAAAAAGCACUUUAUAAUGUCUUUUGUACCUGUUUCAUUUCACAUAAUAUCUUUCUUUUCUUCUGUAGGAUAGCAAGUGGUUCAAAUAUAAGCCUAUUGGGACUAAAAUUGUAUGCCAGUUUUUCACUAAAAAUUGGAAAAUCUUUCAAUCUGACCAUACUGUCUGCAAACAAAGUUGAAUUCAAGAGUCCUUUUGUGCUCUUAUGUAUUGUAUCAUGUAACCUGAGUAUAGAAAUGAUGAAAAAGACACAAAUUUUUAUUUCAUAUAGCUUCAGUAUGCAUUUUUAAAUGUUGAUAUGUGCUACGGCAUAAAUUGACCCUAAAUUAUUUCCAGUCUUACUUGGCCUAAGACCCUUUUAAACUAAUAUGAUAUACUAUUUGUAUUUUGUCUUUGCAUAUAAAGUACAUUAAAUCGAUAUGUAAGGAUUAUUUAUAACCAAAAAACUUCACAAAUUUAAAAUUGCUGGAAAAUAUUACAUCUUCAUGUAAUUAGGCCACCCUUCAUUGGAAACCCUCCAUUUUCCGGCACAGGCUCAUAGAACUUCGACUUUUGAAUAAUUAUGCUAAGUCUUAUAGACCAAAUAAGUAUUCUAUUGCUUUUAAUACAUGAUAUAUUACAUAUUAAGGCAUUUAAAAAGGUUUUUUUUGGCAAUAUUUUUAUUUGUAAAGCCUCAAAUGUUGAAAGUUGAAAACUUAAAUUUUAACGUCAAAUUUUAACACGCAAUGUUGAAUAUAGAAUGUACCAUACUGUCUAUAAUAUAUAUGAUAUUGGCAUGAAACUUUGUAAGCAGUGUUAUAAUGUACGUAGCCUAGGUCAUACCAAGUUUUGUUAAGAUUGGUCAACUUUUUCUAUCCUAUUAGGUCCGAGUACACAAUUAUCGUUCCUUGAUUUUCAUUGUCCACGAAUAUAGUCCCUAGUGUGGACAGUGUGUUACUUGCCAAUCUUUUGUAUACCCCUUCCAGAUUUAUUUCUUUAUGUUUUAUGCCUCAAAUAGUAAGUAUGGGGAUAAAUUUACACUGUGAAAAAAAUUCAUUCAAUUUAAAGUAAAGUAUUGAUUUGGUCCAGCUGCAAAAGGUUAAGAAUAAGCAUUUCGGAAGCAGUCAAAGAUUUCAAGACCCCCUAAACAUAAAAUUGUCCAUAUUAGGAGCCGAUGAAAUUUUCUAUAAUAUUGAUAUAAUUUGUCGCAAAAGUAGUACACUACACUGUACAAAUAUCAAUGAAAAAGCGCAAGUGGGAUUUUUCUUAUUUCCAUUUAUUGUCGUCUAAAGGAAAUGCACUAUGAAAUAACUGUGCACUCGGACCCAUACACUAUCAGUUGAAAACAAUUCUUCGCAAUGAGUUUGCAUCUUUCCGCAGUUUGUUUUCUUUGUUGUGUCUUGUGAACCAUUUGCCUGUUUGUCUUUUUUUCAUUUUUGUUAGCAAAGGCGUUGCCAUUUGAUUUUCUAUCUAUGAGUUUGAAUGUCCACAUGGUAUCUUUCGCCCCUCUUUUAUACACGUGUUCAUCUAAAUCUGAUUUUAGAUAGUAUAACACACUAAAGUGAAUACUCCAAUAUGCAGAAGAACGUAGUCAUGUUAAUCCCGCCACUCUCACGUACUCAGAGUUUUCAAGUAAAAUGGCACAUUUUCGAUAUGUCUUUUACUAUAUUCUGCAUUUUUUUAGUUAACGAACCGUUACAAAUGGAAGUUUUUGAUGUCUACUUUAUUAAGGCUCGUGUACCUUUUGUCAUUGUUGUUGUUCUAUAUAUUAGCACUGAAAGCCAAAGUGCAUUACAAUUCCAUGUUAACUGUUUGUUAACUGUUUGCUCAAACAUUUCUUGUUACUUUAUAACAGAAGUGAGAGAAACAUGUCUAUUAGCAUAACUACAUGAACAGUGGGACCCAAAUCAAUGCUCUAGACGUAACAACAAACGCAUUGUAACCUUAAUAGCAUUUACAAAAUAUUUAACAAUUAACGUGAAAUGUGUUUGCAUAUAUUUUUUAUUGUAUCACAGAACAUGUACACAUCGAAUUUUUUUAUCGUUAUUAUGUUCCGCUUCUGCUUCUUACUUAUGAAAAUAUUAUCUUUUCUAUUAAUUGAAAUUGUUUAUUCCAUUAAAAAAAAUUAAAUGAUAAAUAAACGGAUUUGGUGAUAUGAUAUGUACGAAUAAACCCCAUGGUAUCAAGAUCAACUUAAUAUAUAAAAUACCAUCUUAUAAUUGAUCAUUUCUUUGAAAAAACAUUUGGAACUAAAUACAGACAGAAAAGAAAGUUAAAUCCUUUAAAAGUGUUCAUUUUAUUGCAAUCUGCCGUAUUUGGUACAAUUUUUGGAAUUUUGGAUCCUCAAUGCUUUUCAACUUUGUACUUGUUUGGCUUUAAUAUUUUGAUAUGAGCGUCACUGAUGAGUCUUGUGUAGACGAAACACGCGUCUGGCGUACUUAAAUAUAAUCCUGGUACCUUUGAUAACUAUUUACAAAACUGGGUCGAUGCCACUGCUGGUGGACGUUUCGUCCCCGAGGGUAUCAUCAGCCCAGUAGUCAACACUUCGGUGUUGACAUGAAUAUCAAUAAUGUGGUCAUUUUAUAAAUUUCCUGUUUACAAAACUUUGAAUUUUUGGAAAAACUAAGGAUUUUUCUUAUCCCAGGCAUAGAUUACCUUAGCCGUAUUUGGCACAACUUUUUGGAAUUUUGGAUCCACAAUAUAUUAAUGCUCUUCAACUUUGUACUUGUUUGGUUUUAUAAAUAUUUUGAUAUGAGCGUCACUGAUGAGUCUUGUGUAGACGAAACGCGCGUCUGGCAUACUUAAUUAUAAUCCUGAUACCUUUGAUAGCUAUUUGAGUAUCAAAAACAUUCAUUUAUAUAGUACAAUAAUGACGAUAUAUGAUUUUGAAGACAAAUGAGAAAAUUAAAUAUAGACACCUGCAAUUGAUCUACUUUAAACGUAAAACAGAACAAUCUUAUAUCGCUAAUAUUUGUAUUAAACUAGAAUCAUAAGGUAAACCAACAAUACUUAAUUGUAAUAUACAUGUGGUUCGGGUCAAUUGCAUUUAAAUCAUACUAGAUAUAAGGUAUUGUGUAUCACAUCUCAUAUUUCGAAUUGUUACACGCAUAAAAUAUUGUUUGAAAUGUGUAGCUUUAUAGACAAUAAUGUUUGAUCCGAUUUUUUUGUGUGAACAAAAUACUAAAUAAAAGUAACAAUAGUAUACCGCUUUUCAAUAAAUACGAUAUCGUAAACAGCAGUAGUCCAUUGAUAAUAAAAACGUAUCAUCAUUUGUUUAUGUGUUACAUAUUUGUUUCUCGUUCAUUUUUUUAACAUAAAUAAGGCCGUUAGUUUUCUCGUUUAAAUCAUUCUCAUUAUAACUGACUAUGCGGUAUGAGCUUUGCUCAUUGUUGAAGGCCGUACGAUGACCUAUAGUUGUUAAUGUCUGUGUCAUUUUGGUCUUUUGUGGAUAGUUGUCUCAUUGGCAAUCAUACCAUAUCUUCUUUUUUAUAUAUCAUUAUGUCAUUGAACAAAUUCUAUUAAUGGAAGAAUAGGAUUUGAACAUAUUUUCGAAUUUUCCUAUCAAACUUCAUACAAUCUUUGGCUGCUUUCAAUAUAACGAUAUACGUUAUACACUAAAAUUGAAAAUUGAAAUCGAUGUAAAGUAUUUUUGAAAUUAUUUUAAUCGACUGUCUAUAGCUCGGUUAAAAUGGAAAAAGUUUUAAACGGUGAAAUCUAUACACACUGUCAAUUGAUUUUUAUUUUAAAACAUAUCUGUUAUCCAAAACGUCAAUAAUUACUUCACAAAACUAAAAAUCAAUUCAACCCCGUUGUUGUGUUUUGUGUUACCAUAGAAUCAUUCCUUUUGUGGUAUUUAAAUUUUUACCAAGGGUUUAAACUACGAUCAUUAUGCAUGGUUAUUGAUUGGAACAUAGGUGUUAUACACUAACAAACACGUCAUUAGUAUUGUACAUUUGAAUGAGUGAAUCUCAACUGCAGUCUUUUGUCAAAAGUGUUCCAACUUUCCCAAAUUAUUCCUUUAUUCGAUAUACAAAUUUACAAUCAAAUUUAAAACAAACAUUGUCAAAAAAUAAUUUGAGAUUUGAUUAUGAUGAACAUUUUGUCGUUAAACUCACAAUUAUGUUCAUUUUAUGAAUGCUUAUUAUUAUAUAUAUAUAUGACAAGCCAUUCUGUUGUUUUCACAAAUAGUGAAGUUGUGCCAUUUUGUGUAUGUAACCGUAGAUUUUUUAUUCAUGCAGAAAUUCAUAUUUGUUUUUAAACAAAGAGGUUCUUAAUAUAUAUAUAUAAUAUAUAUAACUCGUCUAAACAUCAACCCAACAAUGUUAGAUCUGUAAAUUUGCUUUCGCAAAUUUUUUGUUCUUCCCUCGCGGGAUUCGAACCCAUGCUACUGAGAUAUCGUGACACCAAAUCGCCUGCACUGCAGCCGUCCCGCUAGACCACACGACCGACCACCUGGGCUUCAAUAUACAUAUAAUGAUCACUAUAAUAAAUGUUCUUGUGUAUAGAAAUAUAUAAAGAUAACUAUUAAAUCCAACAUUUCCGGUAUAAAUAGUUUUACUUCACAAGUGAAGUGAAGUGAAGUGAAGUGAAGUAAAACUAUUUAUACCUGAAAUGUUGGAUUUAAUAGUUAUCUUUAUAUAUAUAUACAUAUAAAUGUGUGUGUGUUAUGGAUAUAUUUAAUUUUAAAGGCAAGAAAAUGCAGACUUUUCUGUAUUUAUGAACAAAAAUGCAUUUAUCUACGAAAUAUAAAGCAUGAAAAAUAACCUGAUAUAUGUUCAGUUUGUCACGAUCUAAGUCGGGGAUAAUCAUAUGAAUAUACUUUGCAUCAAGACCAAAAACAUUAAGACAUGAUAAUAGCAAACUAUGAACAGGGCUUCUUAGUUGCGACAAAUGGACACAAGGAACAUGUAAUUUAAAGUUGAACAUGAAAUUAACAGCACUCUAGAAUCACGAUCUCAUAUAUAGAUACACAAUACACACAAGUAUUUAAAUAACACUUUCCUUUCGUAUGAAAAUGAUUGCAGCUAUUUAAAAACAAGCUAAAGAAGAGGGGCGAAAGAUACAGGAGGAUCAUUCAAACUCAUAGAUCGAAAACAAACUGACAACGCCAUGGCUAAAAAAGAAAAAAAGACAAACAGAGAGAUAAUAGUACACAACGUAGAAAACUAGAAACUAAGCAACACGAACCUGAAAGAACCUGCUCAUAUUUUAUGCUAUUUUUUGAAUAAGCUUACAACAGCAACGACUCAAUACUGGAUAAAUAGACAUAUAUUUUCUUUAAUUCGUAUACUGUAAACAAACUUAUUUUCGCGGAUAAUUUACAACAACUGUUGAAAAAGUCAUAUUUAUGUGAUUACUCAUCAUAAAAUUCUGAGUGUUUUGUCCUUGUUAAUCCAUUAUAUAAUCUUUUUCUUAUUCAAAAUCCGAAUCAGAAAUAAUGCAAUCUUUUAAACACAGAUAUUGAACAAAUAGAUUAAAACUGUAGAAAAAGAAAAACUAAAACGAAUACUUCUUUGGCUAAUUAAAAUGGUUAGCAGAGGUUUACGUGUGCUCUCGGCGAGAAAGCAUGUUUUGCCUUUUGGGUCUUAACGGUAAUUCCUAUUCUGUGCUUGUCGUACAAUUAAGGAAAAAUUAAAAUGAGAUAGACUACGAUGAGAAGAAGAUAUAUUUUGUCAUUCAUACACAUAUAUUUAAUAUCAAUCAACAACAUCAACAGAAAUAAGAAGUAAAAUGUGUGCUUCUAGAAAAUAUCAACCAUUGUGUGAUCGGAAUAAGACAGCAAAAAGAAACAUUGCGAUCGUGCAUCUAUAACUACCGACUUUACACCUCAUGCCACGAGAAGCAUUAGUGACCGAGUGGCCUCAAUAGUUACUACUAUGGUACCUAGCCAGUCAAAUUUUAUAUUGUGAGUUCGAACCCCGCACGUGCGGGUGCACUCGACUCUAAUCCUAAAUAACUAGGAUUGUCUGUUUUUCUAUCGAAAGUCAAUUGUUUUUUUCGUGUACUCCGGCUUCUUUCACCAAUUAAAACUGGCCGCCACGAAAUAGCUCUAAAGCGGUGCUAAAAAGUGUCGUUAAAAAAACGAUCAAAUCAAAUAUACUGCCACGUCGAUGUAACACAUUUAACUGCAAAGAAAUAUGUACCGCAUAUCGAUAAUAUUUUUCAUCCAUUUUUACGAUAAUACAGUAAUUUUACAAGGAAACAGAAAGACUGUCUAAAUUGAUUUAAAUGUUUACCCGAUAAAGAUUAUAAACAGUUCAAGUAAUAUAGAAGUGGGUUUUUUUCCUUGUUUGUUUUGAUUAUAUUUAGUAAAGUUUAAAUGUAAGUAAUGAUAUAUGUCAUAGCUUGGUAUGAAAAGAUUCUGUUUCCUGUCAUAUUUAUUUAUAGCAAUGUUUUCAUACUGAAAUGUCCUGUUUACAAGAAACAAAUUAUAUUCAUUCAAUGGUCAAUGACUUAUUUCCUCUACAAAAAUGAAAACAAAUCUUCCUGUUUGAUUUCAAAAACUUCAAUAUUCUUUGUGUUUAACGACAUAUUAUCAUCAGUUCCUUGUUUGUGAAUCAUAAAAUUGAAAGAAAGAACAUUUUCGUUUUCUAUUGUGUAUAAUAUAAUGCUGCAUGUCUAUUAGUCUUUUUAACAUGACGUUGUCAGUGCAUUUUCGACUGAUGAUGUGUUCACCUCAUUAAUAUCGUUUGCUUAUCGGUUACAUGCAUGUCUUAGUAACUGGAUACUAUGCUGAUAAGGCUUUGGAGUAACCUGUACAUACAUUUAUUGUCUACAAUAUGUUUUUAAAAAUCCAAAAUAGUUAUAGGUCAAAUUACACUUAAAUAUACAAGAUAAAGGGACAAUAUUGAUAGUUUACAUAAUAUUUAGUGUAGUACAAAUAUGUUAUAAUUUGCACACGGACUUUAAACGAAAAUUGUAGUUCCCAAAAUAGGAUAAAAUGCAAUAAACUGUUGACGUUUUAUAUAUACAUUAAAACAAAUUCGAGAAGGGAAAAAAUGAGCUGGAAACAAUAUAAACAGGUUCUUUACGACGUUUAUACAAUUAGUUUUGAUUGAUAUGUAACAGGAAGUGUAACUUAAACAUUCACACUGUUUUUUUUCUAGAUUAAGUUAUUUAAUUUUUUUACGAUUAACUCAUGAAGAAGAGACGAUUUCCUUUCUUAGUGUUAAUUUUACCUUUUGGAAAGUUAAUGUUCUUCACAAUGCGCAUUUACCCCAACUCGUUCGCUAUGUGCAUGUCUAAAUUUAAGUUUUUCAUUGCAUUGAUAGUAAUCUAUGUAUUUUUUGGUAAAUCAUUAAUUCAUGGAUUCCUUUAACACAAAUCACUUAAAACCUUUACUAAAUUCUGUCAUUGAUGGUUUGGACGUUUGGCUGCAUAUAUAGAAAACUUAUUUAAUGGGAAUAGCACAUCAUAAUCGUUUCCGGUAAUGUUGUUAACCGAACCCGGCCGUAAAUAAGAAACGAUCCAAAUAAACCUAUCGAUCCUAUAUAUAUAUAUAUAUUUAUAUAUACAAAUCUUAAUUGAAAAAAACGUUCAAACCUAUGAUUGCGUUGGAUAAAAACUGUAAUUUUUAAACUUGUGCAUGUAAAACAAAUGUCGGUGUAGAAGGGUCUAAAUACCGCACAAACAACAUUUUCCGAAAGACCAGUAUGUGAAAAAGCAUCUGACUAACACAACGCAUCUCACAAACAGGACGAACAACUGAUGUUCUUAAACCCUGCUGACUGCCAUUGGCGAUUGCCAAAUAAAUUGAUCACAAGAUGUAACAAAACGGAUCUUAAUAUUUAUAUUUAUCUUUUGUAUAUAUAAGUACGUCUGAGCUAGUGACAACUCUACAAAUGAUUUAUCCAUCAAAUCACCAUGACCAGCAGUGAUGGUGAUACAUGGCUGUGUACAUUAUGUAUAUACAACUCGUCUGAACAACAACCCAACAAUAUUAGAUCUGUAAAUUUGCUUUCGCAAAUUUUUUGUUCUUCCCUCGCCGGGAUUCGAACCCAUGCUACUGAGAUAUCGUGACAACAAAUCAACUGCACUGUAGUCCUUCAGCUGGUCCCUAAACAAAUAUAUACUAGUCCAGUGAUAAUGAACGCCAUACUAAUUUCCAAAUUGUACACAAGAAACUAAAAUUAAAAUAAUACAAGACUAACAAAGGCCAGAGGCUCCUGACUUGGGACAGGCGCAAAAAUGCGGCGGGGUUAAACAUGUUUGUGAGAUCUCAACCCUCCCCCUAUACCUCUAACCAAUGUAGAAAAGUAAACGCAUAACAAUACGCACAUUAAAAUUCAGUUCAAGAGAAGUCCGAGUCUGAUGUCGGAAGAUGUAACUAAAGAAAAUAAACAAAAUGACAAUAAUACAUAAAUAACAACAGACUACUAGCAGUUAACUGACAUGCCAGCUCCAGACUUCAAUUAAACUGACUGAAAGAUUAUGAUUUCAUCAUAUGAACAUCAGACACAAUCCUUCCCGUUAGGGGUUUAGUAUCAUACCAUCAUAACAUAUAUGAGAAGAACAUAACCCGUGUCAUGCCAACAACUGUUUUUAGAAUAAAUGUGUUUAGUUCCGAUGCCAAGAUCUUAUCAGUGACUCAAUAUUAACGCCAAAAUAUGCAAUCUUUAAUGACUUGACAAUCCUAAAGUAAUGAACUAGAGCAGUUCUCGCUCGGACACAAAAUUAUAUAGGCUAUUUUUUCCCUGAUUAAAUCAAAUAGUUAAGUAAUAAAAAGUAUGCCUGCAUGUGCUAUUUUAUUAGUAAACUGAGGUCCAAAUUUUAUGUAUUUGCUCGGUUUUUUAACGUAAUUUUCCUUUUGACAGAAAUACAUUACUUUUUUGUUCAUUCACACAAGCUGUUUUUUGUUAAUUUUUUGUAAAUUCUGUUUUAUAUAAAUGUCCUUUACAUUUGUGCAAUUUAUUUUUCAAACAAUAAAUUUUCGAAUGUAGGAAAAACGUCAUUUUUUGCUAUAUAUUUAUUAAAUUUUAAAAAAUUGGACUAUUUACGUUUAAAAAAUGAUUUUGGCACACAUAAUCUUCUGACGUAAUCAAACCAAAUGGCAUUUUAAAAAAGACGGGUGCAUGAGCUCGUUGUCAAGUUAGAUAAAUUUGAAUAAUAAAAAUCAGUCGAAAAGUGAAUCUUUUUUAGGAAAGUCAUAGUUUGACGUCUCGAAAAUAACAAUUUACGUUAGCAACGUCACUAUCUCCCCUGUAACUGUAUCGUAUGCCCUUAAAACAUGAAAACAAAUCCGCCAAAUUUGUGUGCCGAUCCCAAGUCAGGAGACUGUUGUUCAGUGUUUGAAUUAUUUUCGUAUUAUUAUUUUUUGUUAUAAAUAGUCUGUCAGUUUUCUAAAUGAAAAUGUUUUAUAUUUUUCAUUUCGAUGUCUUUUAUAUCCGACUAUAUAGUAUGGAAUUGUCUAAUCGUUAAAUGUCGUACGGUUGCCUAUAAGUCAUUAAAUCUUCUUCAUUCGUACUUUGGUCAAGCGGUUUUGGCAGUCAUAUCACAUCUCUUUAUUUUCAUAUCAUCAUGGCCACUUAAAUUAAAUAGGUACAACAGUUAUGUUUCAGUUAAGAUUGUAAUAGAUUAUUUUCUGUUAAUUCCAGCGGGUCUCCGUAAAUAUCUAGUCGGAUUGUAUUACAUAAAACAUAAUCUUAAUUACAGGUCAUGCAUGUUUGGUGUACAAUGUUUGUGUUUCGUGAUAUACAGCUUAAUAGGUAAGAUUUCUAUAAACAAGCAUAUACAAACCAAAUCAAAUUUUAAAUAAACAAAACAAAACACAACACAACAUAUCCUCAAAAGAACAAAGACAAAUUGUUAAUAUAUAAAUAAAUGAAUUUGUUCGCAUGCAAAACUUACAAGAUUUACCUGAUAAAAACCUAUAAGAAUAAACUUCAAAAUUAAGGAAAGUAAAUAUAAAUUACCUUUAAAACCUCUACAUCAAAUCAAAAAACACUUUGAUAAGACAUAUACUAGUACUCAAAUUUCAAUUCCGGCAUACAAUUCUUCAGGUCGACAAAAUGUGAAAUAGUUUAAAACAGAAAACAAGGAUCAGAUAUAUUGUAUUGCACUAAUGUAAAAAAAAAUUACCGGAUGCAAUAUACAUUAACCACGAAAAAAAAACGAUUUAUGGCGUGAAAUAGGCACAUACAGAAUGUAUGAAGGUUUAUCAUGUUGUGGUCAGUUCUCCAAAUAGCACCGAACAGUUGGUUUUAUCAUAAGAAAAAAGGUAAAACAAACCAAUUGGGAAUGACUUGAGCUAUCAUAUAAGUACUUCGUUCCCAAACAAAUACACUACAAACUCCUCAGAGUCUGAAUUGACCAGUUUUUGUGCUCGACCAGUAAAAUCGAGCACACAUUUUACUCGACUAGUCUCGACAUUCUCUCGACUGUACUUAACUGUACUUAAGUGUACUCGACUAGGUCUCGACUUUACUUAAUUAGUCUGAUUCAGUACUUUGAUGAUCUUUGUGUAGUCUGAAAUGGUCUGACCAAGGCUCGACCUGUCUCGACCUGUCUUAACUAGUCUCGACCUGUCUCGACUAGUCUCGACUCAGUCUCAACUAGUCUUGACCUUCAAAUUUAGUUUUGACUGGUGUAAAUCAGCCCAUCUAACUAAAUUAAAUAGUGAUCUUACAAAAUUCAAGCUUAUAAGGUUGUUUUAUUUAUUGCUGUGAAAUGAAAGAAUUUAAUUUUACAAUAUGUAAAAAACAAAUUAUUAUAUAAAAAUUCAGAUAGGCAUCUUUAAAUUUUUUUAUAACUUUUUCAAAUCAACGUGGAUUGUCAUCAAGCCAUGCAGAUAUCUUAGAUAUAUAUCAAGCUUACUGAAUCCCAUUUCAUUUAGUUUUUUGUUGUAUUGCUGUAAAUUAAGAAUUAUAAGUAAUUUUGGUAAAAAAGCUAGAUUGCAAUUCGGACAAAAUAGAGAUAGUACACUUUGAUUUUUGUAAUAACUUUUUCAAAUCAACUUGGAUUUUCAUCAAACUAUGCAUCUAUCUUACAUAUAUAUCAAGCUUACUGAAUCCCAUUUCAUUUAGUUUUUUGUUGUAUUGCUGUGAAAUUUAAGAAUUAAUUUAAUCUUGGUAAAAAAAGCUAGGAUUUGCAAUUUGGACAAAAUAGAGAUAGUACACUUUAAUUUUUUUAAUAACUUUUUCAAAUCAACUUGGAUUUUCAUCAAACUAUGCAGCUAUCUUACAUAUAUAUCAAGCUUACUGAAUCCCAUUUCAUUAGUUUUUUGUUGUAUUGCUGUAAAAUUUAAGAAUUAAUUUAAUCUUGGUAAAAAAAUCUAGGAUUUGCAAUUCGGACAAAAUAGAGUUAGUACACUUUAAUUUUUUUAAUAACUUUUUCAAAUCAACUUGGAUUUUCAUCAAACUAUGCAGCUAUCUUACAUAUAUAUCAGGCUUACUAUAUCCAAUGUCAUUUAGUUUUUUGUUGUAUUGCUGUAAAAUUUAAGAAUUAAAUUAAUCUAGGUCAAAAAAGCUAGAAUUUGCAGUUCAAACAAAAUAGAGAUAGUACACUUUAAGUUUUUAAUAACUUUUUCAAAUCAACUUGGAUUUUAUUAAAACUAUAUAGCUACCUUGGUGAUCUUACUAAAUCCCAGGUUGUUAUGAAGUUUUAAAAUAUUUUUUUGUCAAAUUUAAUGACAUGGCACUAUACAUGAUUUAAUUACAUCAGUACACGUGAGUUUUACAGGUAAAAAGAAAGCCCUACUUUUCUUAAACUCGUGUAUUACUUAUCUAGUGAAUUAAAAGCCCUGUGAUUUAGAAUUAACAGGAUGUUGCAACUUUGAAUAAAUGUUAUUUAGAAUUUAAAACUCUCUGGUAGAUGUGAUCUUUUUAAUAAGUUUACCCCAAGCAGAAGGUAUUGCUUUAUAAAUCACCACAAAUAAGCAGAACUAUUUUAAUAAUUUCUAAUGUUUCAUCCCUUUUUGAUAUAUGUAUAAAGUGUAUAUCAAAAGGAAUAAAACAUUAAAGGAAUUAUAUAACUAUUUUAAUAUACUUCUUUCCCAAAUUAUGAGAAAAGAUAUAUUUCUAAUAUCGUAGCUUUUUGACCUAGGUUAAUUAAAUUCUUAAAUUUGACAGAAAUACACCAAACAAAAUUCAGUAAGAUCAAUAUAUUGCAAAGAUAUUUGUAGAGUUUGAUGAAAAUCUAAGUUGAUUUGAAAAAGUUAUGAAAAAAAUUAAAGUGUACCAUCUCUAUUUUGUCAAAACUGCAAAUCCUAGCUUUUUUUUACCUAGAUUAAAUUAAUUCUUAAAUUUGACACAGCAAUACAAAACUUUAUAACAACCUGGGAUUCAGUAAGAUGAAUACAUCACCAAGAUAGCUAUAUAGUUUCAAUAAAAUCCAAGUUGAAUUUAAAAAGUUAUAAAAAAAAAUUAAAGUGUACUAUCUCUAUUUUGUUCGAACUGCAAAUUCUAGCUUUUUUGACCUAGAUUAAUUUAAUUCUUGAAUUUGACAGCAAUACAACAAAAACAAAAUGACCUGGGAUUCAGUAAGCUUAGUAUACAUUUAAGAUAGCUACAUAGUGUGAUGAAAAUCCAAGUUGAUUUGAAAAAGUUUAAAAAAAAAUUAAAGUGUACUAUCUCUAUUUUGUCCGAAUUGCAAAUCCUAGCUUUUUUUACCAAGAUUAAAUUAAUUCUUUAAUUUGACAGCAAUACAACAAAAAACUAAAUGAAAUGGGAUUCAGUAAGCCUGAUAUAUAUGUAAGAUAGCUGCAUAGUUUGAUGAAAAUCCAAGUUGAUUUGAAAAAGUUUUAAAAAAAAUUAAAGUGUACUAUCUCUAUUUUGUCCGAAUUGCAAAUCCUAGAUUUUUUUUACCUAGAUUAAUUUAAUUCUUGAAUUUGACAGCAAUACAACAAAAAACUAAAUGAAAUGGGACUCAGUAAGCCUGAUAUAUAUGUAAGAUAGCUGCAUAGUUUGAUGAAAAUCCAAGUUGAUUUAAAAAAAGUUAUUAAAAAAAUUAAAGUGUACUAUCUCUAUUUUGUCCGAAUUGCAAAUCCUAGCUUUUUUGACCUAGAUUAAUUUAAUUCUUAAAUUUGACAGCAAUACAACAAUAAACUAAAUGAAAUGGGAUUCAGUAAGCCUGAUAUAUAUGUAAGAUAGCUAUAUAGUUUGAUGAAAAUCAAAGUUGAUUUGAAAAAGUUAUUAAAAAAAUUAAAGUGUACUAUCUCUAUUUUGUCCGAAUUGCAAAUCCUAGCUUUUUUUUACCAAGAUUAAAUUAAUUCUUAAAUUUGACAGCAAUACAACAAAAAUCUAAAUGAAAUGGGAUUCAGUAAGCUUGAUAUAUAUGUAAGAUAGCUGCAUAGUUUGAUGAAAAUCCAAGUUGAUUUGAAAAAGUUAUUAAAAAAAUUAAAGUGUACUAUCUCUAUUUUGUCCGAAUUUGCAAAUCCUAGCUUUUUUUACCAAGGUUACUUAAAUUCUUAAAUCUUACAGCAAUACAACAAAAAACUAAAUGAAAUGGGAUUCAGUAAGCUUGAUAUAUGUAAGAUAGCUGCAUAGUUUGAUGAAAAUCCAAGUUGAUUUGAAAAAGUUAUUAAAUAAAUUAAAGAUGCCUAUCUGAAUUUUUAUAUAAUAAUUUUUAUUUUUACAUAUUGUAAAAAUAAAAUUCUUCAUUUCACAGCAAUAAAUCAAACUACUUAAUAAGCUUGAAUUUUGUAAGAUCAAUAUUUAAUUUAUUUAGAUGGGCUGAUUUACACCAGUCAAAACUAAAUUUGAAGGUCAAGACCAGUCGAGACAGGUCAAGACUGGUUGAGACUGAGUCAAGACUAGUCGAGACAGGUCGAGACAGGUCGAGCCUUGGUCAAGACCAUUUCAGACUACACAAAGAUCAUCAAGUACUGAAUCAGACUUAUUAAGUAAAGUCGAGACCUAGUCGAGUACACUUAAGUACAGUUAAGUACAGUCGAGACAAUGUUGAGACUAGUCGAGUAAAAUGUGUUCUCGAUUUUACUGGUCGAGCACAAAAACUGGUCAAUUCAGACUCUGAGGAGUUUGUAGUGAUAACAAUAAACACCUAAUAGUGCUCAAAAUCACUGACAGAAACAAUAGAACUGAGAAUGGAAAUGGAGAAUGUGUCAAAGAGACAACAAACCGUCAAUAGAACAGACAACAGCAGAAUGUCACCAAUAGGUCUUCAACAAGUCUUCUUUAAAAUAUAAUAUAUUAAUGGUUUGCUGUUCUUUCUUUUAAAAUUUUGAACUCACCAAUUUGUCACAUUUUUGAGUAUUCACUUUCAGUUUUACAAAUGUAUAAUACAAAUAAAAUUGAGAAUGGAAAUGGGGAAUGUGCUAAAACUAUUUAUAUGUACCCAAUUGAUAUAUGAACCACAGGCGCGCAUUUUGUCUUUAAAAUACUCAUCGUUGAACCGCAAAGCAAGCAUAUUACAAAAGGCUAAAUAAAGUUGAAGAAAUCGAAGAUAAAAAAUUCUAAAAGGAUUUUCUAAACACAAUAUAUGCUUUCAAACAGGGUUUCUUUGUUUGAUCAUAACUGUUCAAAAUCACUUCAAAAUUGAACUUUGAAACUGUACAUUAUUUACUUUGUAUGUCUGUUUGGGGAAUUUCAACUUAUUUAGGCAAUGCAAGUUAGAGGAUUCGAUAGCUAUAAAACCAGGUGUAACACAAUUGUCUCAACUGACAUUUGUAGAGGAGUGUUUUUAUGUCAAAUGAAGUCUUCACGGUGGUCCAAACUAUACUAUAUUUAUAAAUAAUCGAUUAUGUAAAGUUUGCUCCGGAUUUUGGUCAUUUUAUUGAUGUACACUUGUUUUUGGGUUUUGUCCUUUUGACACAUUCUCCAAUUCCAUCCUCAUUUUCUUUUUUCAAACAUAAGACUUUACUCCAAAAUAUCUUUAUUUUAUACUUACAUUUCUAAUAUUUUAGGAUUGACAAACAACAGCCACCCUUGCCUGACAUGGCAAAUGGACGAUAAUGCUCUACAUCUUAUCUGUAGAUUUAAUGAAUCAUCAAAAUCAUUGUCAUUUUUUGAUAAUUUAAACAACGAACGAGUUGUUUGUAGUUUAAAUGGUUCAGCUUCAAAUUGUACCACUUCACUUGAGGGCCUUACUUCAUAUGUAAACAUAUCUAGACAUACUGUUGUAUUGACAAUAUCAACAACUACCACGUAUGUCAUUAAUGGAACUUGGACAUGCAUGCAAGGGGUUUCGAUGUAUACGACGGAAGUUUCAAAGUCGAAAGGUAUUGGAAAGGCAACUUUUAUUUCAGUAUAUUGUUAAUUAUCAUAUAUUUAUCUGUUUUAAAUUAUAAUCCUGGUAUAUCUUUGAUAACUAUUAAGCAACUCAUAAACACACAUACAUUAUAAAGAAAAACAACAAAGUAUUUGGUCACGUCUACCAUAUUAGUUUCUAGUAAAGAGUUAUGAAUUAUAUCACAUGUUCUUGUUUUAUUUAACAAAGUGUUUGAAUAUCAAUCAUCAACUGGUACGUAAUUAAAAUCCUCAAGCGUAUCAGAUUGUUGUUUGGUUACGAAAAAAACUCUUCUUUGUUUAAAGUGCACGUGAAAAUUGGAAGUAUUAUCCUUCAGGGCGAUGGUUUCGUUAUGACAAAUCAGAAUUUAAAACUACCUAGAUUAACAACUACUUUUCAAACUUGUGAAGAAAUGUAAAUUCAGGAUAGCACUUCCGAAUGAAUGACUAGAGUGUACAAGUACACAACCAUACCCACUUAUGAUUAAUUUGAUACAACAAUUUUUGAAUAUGCAUUAUUGACAUCAAUCAUUGCGUUUUAAUAAUACCUAUUUACAGAAUCCAUAAUUGAGCUGGUGUAACGUAAUAAUGCGGCCCCUUCUGAUCAUACCGUUGUCGUGCAGAAGUACAACGUUAUUAUCACUUUUACAUUGACCUCUAAGAACCAAAACAAUCAUAGACAAACAGAACUAAAAAGAUUGUAGUAUAAAAAUCGGUAAAGGAAAUUAAUGUUUUCGUGAUUCGUGUAUAAAGAUAUAUAUAAGGAGAAUUGAUUUAUUAUUAUCUAUUUGGUAAUCCCUACAGUAAAUAUAAAAUACCAAUUUCGCAAAAUUGUAAAUUUUGUUAUUAAUUACUAGUUCAAUAUUAUGAAAUUUAAAAUUUGAAACACCUCCACAAUAUUUACAGUUAAUUUACAUGAAAAUAUCGGAACUACUCUGCUUUUCUGGUUGUUAUAUAUUGUACUGCGUAGUGAGAAUGACCGAGUAGUUACGAUUUGGAUUUAUGAGCUUGACUGUCCCUCUGGUAUCUUUCGUCCCUCUUUUGAAUACGAUCAUUUAACAAUAGGUCAGUGUCUUCACGUAUACUGAUAUACAGUUUCUGCUGUAUUUAAUAUUAAAGAUUACAUCAGGAACAAUAUGAAAUUACCUUUACAGUAGCUUCCCUGGAGACGUACAUUCAGCGAGGAGGAAAUGUAUUUUUAGUUUAGGUUUGUGAAUAUUGUGGAUCCCCCUCAGUAGUUCAACCAAUCGACGAAAUGUUAAUAUCUACUUUGAAGCAGUUCUUUUAACACUUUAAUAAGAAUAAUAGAAAAAUGGAAUGUUGUUAGUAGAUACAAGACAGCAAAUAAUGUACACUUUUAGCUAAAGAAAAAAUUGGAUUGGGGUUCUGUGUAUUCACAUUAUUUGUAGAACACUCCUUACUGGUGGUAAAACAAGUAUUUCUUUUCCGUGACCUAAAUGUGUCGCGAAAAUUUUCAAACUUAAAAGUCAAUGAUGUAUAAAUGUUACAGUGAAACAAUGCUCCAAUAGAUAAACUUCAACGUGAUUUCAAUCCUUCAUCAAGUUACACCAUUGACUGAAUUAUUAUUUUUUUAGGUGCAAUUGACAGCACAGAUAUGCAAAUCAAAGGACAAUUAGUGAAAAUAUCUGGGAUAUAUAGCGCAGUACAAUUGGUUUGUUUUUCAUGUAUAGAGCCUGACAGAUAUAUUGCAGAGUUUCUGGUAAACAAUCGAUCAGCAGAUAGUGUUAUAUUUAACAUAGCGUCACACAAGUGUUAUCAUUAUAAUGAAGAAUGCCGUGAAAACGUUACCUGCAGUUGUUCCAUAAACUCCUAUACACGCAUCUUUAAUCUUACCCAUGACCGUACUCCUACGUAUUACUCAUGUGAAAUGACAUUUAAGGACUCUGGAAGUCAAUCCAAAUUUUCAAAGCAUGCAACUCUGUUUUUCAACGGCAGUGGUAA
rnacentral:lncRNA from 1 species